rnacentral:lncRNA from 1 species
GGGGUACGGGUCCUUGCAGUUUGGAGGCCUCUGGGCAGUGAGUGGCCCCUGAACACCAUUGUGAAGGACAGGUGGGCACUGGAGCUGAGGGGAGGGAAGCAGAGAAGGCUCAUGAUGGAUUCCCCUGCUCAUUUAAAAGCAAACAGCUCUGCCAGGUAGCAUUCGUAAUGGGCCUGAUGGACUGUGAAGGGGGAGCCGCCAUUUUGUUGCUGACAUGAUCAUAAAUACCGGGAACCUUGAGGCAGAAUGCGGAGCUGAGCGUCUGCAGAGAUUGCUGGCCUUGGGACAUCCAGGCGCUGAUUCUUUAGAAUUUCACCAGUAUCCGAUAACGCCGAGCCGGUUGGCUGAGAAAAGGCCACAUCGUCAGCGUGUGGGAUGUGGACAGCAGUCUCCGUGGCCUUCAGUCCGAAGCAGGAAGAAGCCAGAGCCUAGAGUCCAAUUUGGCCAACGGAUCGUAAGCCUAAGCCAACUAGAAAGGCAAGAAGAAUGA